UACGUAGGGGGCAAGCGUUGUCCGGAUUUAUUGGGCGUAAAGCGCGCGUAGGCGGCGCGGUAUGUCGUGCGUGAAAUCUCCCGGCUUAACUGGGAGGGGCCGUGCGAAGCUGCCGGGCUUGAGGUCGGAAGGGGAAAGUGGAAUUCCGGGUGUAGUGGUGGAAUACGUAGAUAUCCGGAGGAACACCAGCGGCGAAGGCGGCUUUCUGGUCCGAUACUGACGCUGAGGUGCGAAAGCGUGGGGAGCGAUCCGG
rnacentral:rRNA from 1 species